rnacentral:rRNA from 1 species
CACGCCGUAAACGGUGGGUACUAGGUGUGGGUUUCCUUCCUUGGGAUCCGUGCCGUAGCUAACGCAUUAAGUACCCCGCCUGGGGNUGCAACGCGAAGAACCUUACCUGGGUUUGACAUGCACAGGACGCCGGCAGAGAUGUCGGUUCCCUUGUGGCCUGUGUGCAGGUGG